rnacentral:SRP_RNA from 2 species
GAGGGCAGCCCGUGCGGCGGCGUGCCGUGAACCAUGUCAGGCGGGGAACCGAGCAGCAUUAAGCGGAUUUCGCCGGGCGCCGCGGGAUUUGUCUUUGCC